rnacentral:rRNA from 1 species
AAAUUGAAGAGUUUGAUCAUGGCUCAGAUUGAACGCUGGCGGCAGGCCUAACACAUGCAAGUCGAGCGGUAGCACAGAGAGCUUGCUCUCGGGUGACGAGCGGCGGACGGGUGAGUAAUGUCUGGGAAACUGCCUGAUGGAGGGGGAUAACUACUGGAAACGGUAGCUAAUACCGCAUAACGUCGCAAGACCAAAGUGGGGGACCUUCGGGCCUCAUGCCAUCAGAUGUGCCCAGAUGGGAUUAGCUAGUAGGUGGGGUAAUGGCUCACCUAGGCGACGAUCCCUAGCUGGUCUGAGAGGAUGACCAGCCACACUGGAACUGAGACACGGUCCAGACUCCUACGGGAGGCAGCAGUGGGGAAUAUUGCACAAUGGGCGCAAGCCUGAUGCAGCCAUGCCGCGUGUAUGAAGAAGGCCUUCGGGUUGUAAAGUACUUUCAGCGAGGAGGAAGGCGUUAAGGUUAAUAACCUUGGCGAUUGACGUUACUCGCAGAAGAAGCACCGGCUAACUCCGUGCCAGCAGCCGCGGUAAUACGGAGGGUGCAAGCGUUAAUCGGAAUUACUGGGCGUAAAGCGCACGCAGGCGGUUUGUUAAGUCAGAUGUGAAAUCCCCGGGCUCAACCUGGGAACUGCAUUUGAAACUGGCAAGCUUGAGUCUUGUAGAGGGGGGUAGAAUUCCAGGUGUAGCGGUGAAAUGCGUAGAGAUCUGGAGGAAUACCGGUGGCGAAGGCGGCCCCCUGGACAAAGACUGACGCUCAGGUGCGAAAGCGUGGGGAGCAAACAGGAUUAGAUACCCUGGUAGUCCACGCUGUAAACGAUGUCGACUUGGAGGUUGUUCCCUUGAGGAGUGGCUUCCGGAGCUAACGCGUUAAGUCGACCGCCUGGGGAGUACGGCCGCAAGGUUAAAACUCAAAUGAAUUGACGGGGGCCCGCACAAGCGGUGGAGCAUGUGGUUUAAUUCGAUGCAACGCGAAGAACCUUACCUACUCUUGACAUCCAGAGAACUUAGCAGAGAUGCUUUGGUGCCUUCGGGAACUCUGAGACAGGUGCUGCAUGGCUGUCGUCAGCUCGUGUUGUGAAAUGUUGGGUUAAGUCCCGCAACGAGCGCAACCCUUAUCCUUUGUUGCCAGCGGUCCGGCCGGGAACUCAAAGGAGACUGCCAGUGAUAAACUGGAGGAAGGUGGGGAUGACGUCAAGUCAUCAUGGCCCUUACGAGUAGGGCUACACACGUGCUACAAUGGCAUAUACAAAGAGAAGCGACCUCGCGAGAGCAAGCGGACCUCAUAAAGUAUGUCGUAGUCCGGAUUGGAGUCUGCAACUCGACUCCAUGAAGUCGGAAUCGCUAGUAAUCGUAGAUCAGAAUGCUACGGUGAAUACGUUCCCGGGCCUUGUACACACCGCCCGUCACACCAUGGGAGUGGGUUGCAAAAGAAGUAGGUAGCUUAACCUUCGGGAGGGCGCUUACCACUUUGUGAUUCAUGACUGGGGUGAAGUCGUAACAAGGUAACCGUAGGGGAACCUGCGGUUGGAUCACCUCCUUACCUGAAAGAA